rnacentral:tRNA from 1 species
AAGGAGUUAGUUUAAGCAUAACCUCGGCUCGUCAGCCCGAAAUUGUUAGUGAAACCCUAGCACUCCUUU